rnacentral:tRNA from 6 species
GUCUCCGUAGCUCAGUAGGAUAGAGCGCGAGAUUCCUAAUCUCGAGGCCGGCGGUUCGACUCCGCCCGGAGACG